rnacentral:rRNA from 1 species
UACGGAGGGUGCAAGCAUUAAUCGGAUUUAUUGGGCGUAAAGGGCGCGUAGGCGGGAAGGUAAGUCAGACGUAAAAUCCCGAGGCUCAACCUCGGACCUGCGUUUGAACCUGCCAUUCUUGAGGAUAGGUGGGGAAAGCGGAAUUCCACAAGUAGCGGUGAAAUGCGUAGAUAUGUGGAGGAACACCGGUGGCGAAAGCGGCUUUCUAACUUAUUCCUGACGCUGAGGCGCGAAAGCAAGGGGAUCAAACAGG